AGAGUUUGAUCCUGGCUCAGAACGAACGCUGGCGGCGUGCUUAAUACAUGCAAGUCGAACGUGAAGUGUAGCAAUACACUGAAAGUGGCGAACGGGUGAGUAACACGUAAGUAAUCUGCCUCCAAGCUCGGGAUAACCCUGCCAACGCGGGGCUAAUACCGGAUGUGGUCCAAAGAGCGCAUGCUUUAUGGAUUAAAGGAGCGAUCCGCUUGGAGAUGAACUUGCGGCCCAUUAGUUAGUUGGCGGGGUAACGGCCCACCAAGGCAGCGAUGGGUAGCCGGCCUGAGAGGGUGUACGGCCACAUUGGGACUGAGAUACGGCCCAGACUCCUACGGGAGGCAGCAGUAGGGAAUCUUGCGCAAUGGACGAAAGUCUGACGCAGCAACGCCGCGUGAAGGAUGAAGGCCCUCGGGUUGUAAACUUCUGUUGGAUGGGAAAAAAAGCCUGGUAACGGGAAUUGAUGGUACCAUUCGAGUAAGCACCGGCUAACUACGUGCCAGCAGCCGCGGUAAUACGUAGGGUGCAAGCGUUGUUCGGAAUCACUGGGCGUAAAGAGAGCGUAGGCGGGAUCGUAAGUUAGGAGUUUAAUGCAUGGGCUUAACCCAUGAUCUGCUUUUAAUACUGCGGUUCUUGAGUAUGGGAGAGGGCGAUGGAAUUCCAGGUGUAGCGGUGGAAUGCGUAGAUAUCUGGAAGAACACCAGUAGCGAAGGCGGUCGCCUGGCCCAAUACUGACGCUGAGGCUCGAAAGCUAGGGGAGCAAACAGGAUUAGAUACCCUGGUAGUCCUAGCCGUAAACGAUGGACACUAGUUGCCGGAAGAGUCAAUCCUUCGGUGACGAAGCUAACGCAUUAAGUGUCCCGCCCUGGAAGUACGCCCGCAAGGGUGAAACUCAAAUGAAUUUCGCAAGACUAAAACUCAAAGGAAUUGACGGAAUCG
rnacentral:rRNA from 1 species